rnacentral:rRNA from 1 species
AGGCAGCAGUGGGGAAUAUUGCACAAUGGGGGAAACCCUGAUGCAGCGACGCCGCGUGAGUGAAGAAGUAUUUCGGUAUGUAAAGCUCUAUCAGCAGGGAAGAAGAAAGACGGUACCUGACUAAGAAGCCCCGGCUAACUACGUGCC